ACAUUUUCCGAAAAAUAUUUUUCUAGUUUUCCAGUGUUUGUUUGCUUGAAAAUAAAUUCCAUUGAUAAAAUAUUUUCUAAAACACAGUAAAUGAGAUGGGUUUUUAGGGAAAAUGUCUAUCGAUUUUAUUUCUGUAAGACAUUUUCCAUCUUCCUCCACUCUCACCAAUUUGGUUCCUCCUUCUUCCAUUCUUCAUCUAUCCCUUCCUGAAUCUCAAUUAAGGGGGAGAGAGGCGGGGAUUCUUUGUGGUAGCUUUGUCGCUGAACUUGAGAAUUAAUUGAUAUGAGAAACGACUUUUAAGAACCAAGGUUAAAAGAAGAUGAUGGCUAUUCGAAGACUGCUCAAUCUACCUCUCGAAGCUGAUUGUUGCUAAUGAGAAUAUCUUAGAGAAGAAGCAUGAUUUUUACUCUACCAAACAGAAUGAGGAUUUUGCUGCUUUGGAGCAGGUAGUCACAUUUUAUAUUCUUGGGGUGCCACUAUGUCUAGGUUUCUAAUAAUUAUUGUGUUUUAUGGUUCAUCCCUUGGGCAAGUUAUACUGCAUGUAAUAACAAUUUCCUUACUAACACAAAUAAACAUUUUUGAAGUGUACUUUUUGAUGUCUUAGAAAUAUGCCAUUAUAAGCAUCCAUGGUUAUAUUUAACUCAUUUGAUGCAAUUUGACAUUCUAUAAUAUAUGCAAUUUAUUACUAGUCUAUGUUGUUUUA